AUUGAACGCUGGCGGCAGGCCUAACACAUGCAAGUCGAGCGAGCGGCGGACGGGUGAGUAAUGUCUGGGUAACCGCCCGAUGGAGGGGGAUAACUACUGGAAACGGUAGCUAAUACCGCACACCAUCAGAUGUGCCCAGAUGGGAUUAGCUAGUAGGUGGGGUAACGGCUCACCUAGGCGACGAUCCCUAGCUGGGCUGAGAGGAUGACCAGCCAAACUGGAACGGAGACACGGUCCAGACUCCUACGGGAGGAAGCAGUGGGGAAUAUUGCACAAUGGGCGCAAGCCUGAUGCAGCCAUGCCGCGUGGGUGAAGAAGGCCUUCGGGUUGUAAAGCACUUUCAGCGGGGAGGCGUUACCCGCAGAAGAAGCACCGGCUAACUCCGUGCCAGCAGCCGCGGUAAUAC
rnacentral:rRNA from 1 species